rnacentral:rRNA from 1 species
GAUGAACGCUGGCGGCGUGCCUAAUACAUGCAAGUCGAGCGAACAGAUGAGGAGCUUGCUCCUCUGAUGUUAGCGGCGGACGGGUGAGUAACACGUGGAUAACCUACCUAUAAGACUGGGAUAACUUCGGGAAACCGGAGCUAAUACCGGAUAAUAUAUUGAACCGCAUGGUUCAAUAGUGAAAGACGGUCUUGCUGUCACUUAUAGAUGGAUCCGCGCCGCAUUAGCUAGUUGGUAAGGUAACGGCUUACCAAGGCAACGAUGCGUAGCCGACCUGAGAGGGUGAUCGGCCACACUGGAACUGAGACACGGUCCAGACUCCUACGGGAGGCAGCAGUAGGGAAUCUUCCGCAAUGGGCGAAAGCCUGACGGAGCAACGCCGCGUGAGUGAUGAAGGUCUUCGGAUCGUAAAACUCUGUUAUUAGGGAAGAACAAAUGUGUAAGUAACUAUGCACAUCUUGACGGUACCUAAUCAGAAAGCCACGGCUAACUACGUG